GGAAGAAACGUACCCUCGUGAGGGUGCCUGACGGUACUGUAGGAAUAAAGCACCGGCUAACUCCGUGCCAGCAGCCGCGGUAAUACGGAGGGUGCGAGCGUUAUCCGGAUUUAUUGGGUUUAAAGGGUCCGUAGGCGGAUUAAUAAGUCAGUGGUGAAAUCCCAUCGCUUAACGAUGGAACUGCCAUUGAUACUGUUAGUCUUGAAUGAGGGUGCAGUGGUUGGAAUGUGUAGUGUAGCGGUGAAAAUGCAUAGAUAUUACACAGAACACCGAUUGCGAAGGCAGAUCACUAACCCUAAGUUGACGCUGAGGGACGAAAGCGUGGGGAGCGAACAGGAUUAGAUACCCUGGUAG
rnacentral:rRNA from 1 species